UCCGUAGGUGAACCUGCGGAAGGAUCAUUACCGAGUGGCUUGGCGAUCCGAACCCAAAAGCGGUUCGGAGCAGCCGGUUACCCGACCUUUAUGUCAUCAGCACCGGCCUUUUGUUGAAGACGUCAUCUGGGCGACCGGAGACGAGGACGACGAGGACGGAAGGUAUAUUUCGGCGGAGGUGGUAGGAGCUGGUCGUUUGGGUGAAUCGUGGUCUCUCGGGACGGCGAUGGCUUGAACGCAGCUGGCCUGCCCGCCGCCGGCGGUAUUUCCCACUCUUUUUUUUGGAGGAAGCGUGAAGUCUGAAGCAACUUUUGUACGAAUGAAAAAGCAAAACUUUCAACAACGGAUCUCUUGGCUCUGGCAACGAUGAAGAACGCAGCGAAACGCGAAAGGUAAUGCGAAUUGCAGAAUCAGUGAGUCAUCGAAUCUUUGAACGCACAUUGCGCCUCUCGGUAUUCCGGGAGGCACGCCUGUUCGAGCGCCAUUACACACUCCAAGCUGCGGCUUGAUGUUGGGCGACGUGCUUGGGGAAACCCGAGGACGCGCCUGGAACGCGUGGGCGGCGGACGCCAGACCGCGAGCGUAGCAAGAUUUUUUUUUAUGAGAAAGUCACCCGCUCGGAUGGAUAUGGUGGACGACCAGUCUCUUCGGUAGGCUCUGAUGUGGAGCGUGUUGUGAAGUCAGCGCGCGACACGUGUGGGGCACGACGUUGUCAAGUUUGGCCUCGGAUCAGGCGGGGAUACCCGCUGAACUUAAGCAUAUCAAUAAGCGGAGGAAAAG
rnacentral:rRNA from 1 species